AAAGUAAAGAACAGUAUUCCACAUUUUAGAUAUUUCUCUGCCUAUUCGCUCUAUUGAUGGAAAGACAUCAUAUGACUCGCUGGAAUAUGCAAUAGAACAAUAUUUAAGACCUGAAAUAUUAGACGAACAUUUUUGUGACAUUUGUGGAAAAAAAAGCAAAUUUCUAAAGGGGCAACAAUUUAAAGAGCUCCCAUAUAUUUUAUGUUUUCAUCUAGGUAGGAUUAGUUAUAACAUAAAUAGUCUAAAACCUGAAAAAAUAAAUGACAAAGUAUCUUUUCCAUUUAUCAUUUCAAUGGAUGUGGAUGGCUAUAAUUCCAUAUUUGAAUUAUACGGAGUGAUCAUUCAUAAAGGUGAAGCCACUUUUGGGCACUAUUACUCAUACAUAAAAGAUUUCAA